ensembl:snRNA U6 U6 spliceosomal RNA
AGGCUCUUGCUUCAGCAGCCUAUAUAGUAAAAUUAGAACGAUACAGAGAAGAUUAGCAUGGCCCCUGUGGAAGGAUCAUACGUAAAUUUGUGAAGUGUUCCAUAUAUAU